rnacentral:rRNA from 1 species
GACAUGGUCGGAAUCCCGCUGAGAGGUGGGAGUGCUCGAAAGAGAACCGGCGCACAGGUGCUGCAUGGCUGUCGUCAGCUCGUGUCGUGAGAUGUUGGGUUAAGUCCCGCAACGAGCGCAACCCUUGUCCUUAGUUGCUACGCAAGAGCACUCUAAGGAGACUGCCGGUGACAAACCGGAGGAAGGUGGGGAUGACGUCAAGUCCUCAUGGCCCUUAUGGGUAGGGCUUCACACGUCAUACAAUGGUCGGAACAGAGGGUUGCCAACCCGCGAGGGGGAGCUAAUCCCAGAAUCCGAUCGUAGUCCGGAUUGCACUCUGCAACUCGAGUGCAUGAAGCUGGAAUCGCUAGUAAUCGCGGAU